CAGUCGCCACGGUAAUACGAAGGGGGCUAGCGUUGCUCGGAAUGACUGGGCGUAAAGGGCGCGUAGGCGGCGAUCAAAGUCAGGCGUGAAAUUCCUGGGCUCAACCUGGGGGCUGCGUUUGAUACUUGAUUGCUAGAGUGGGGAAGAGGGUCGUGGAAUUCCCAGUGUAGAGGUGAAAUUCGUAGAUAUUGGGAAGAACACCGGUGGUGAAGGCGGCGACCUGGUCCUUGACUGACGCUGAGGCGCGAAAGCGUGGGGAGCAAACAGGAUUAGAUACCCGAGUAGUCCCUGUCUCUUAUAC
rnacentral:rRNA from 1 species